UACAAGUGUUCAAACAAAUUUACAAUGAGCGAACAAAAUUACAAGUUUUAAAACAAAUUUACGUUUAUUACGGAAAGGGUAGGUACAAUACGCUGACGUCACGCAUCUGAGCCUCCGGUGGGAGGAAACCCGGAAGUAUCGCCCUGAAUCACAUGAGAGUUGUGAAUGCGAUGUUGUGUAUUAGGCUGUACAUAAUAUUAACGGAAAGAGAGUGAUAAUAUAUAACCUUUCAUCGCUUCCGAAGUGACUAAAAGGGAUAUUGGACCUUAUUUUCAGAUUACAGACAACACGAGAGGGUGCUUCAAACUUUUUAAUCAGGACUGCAUUGUUUGUUCGCUCCCGGGGUUACAUAGACUGAAACGAGGAAGUGUGACGAGUUUGUUUACAUGGUGCUGUAAACUUCAACCCAGGAGGACACUUCAAAGGAAUCAAGGUGUCUGUGAUAUUGAAACACUAAAGGAAGAAGAGGAGGACCACCAUUCGUUUCCUGAGCAGAAAAAAAAUUAAAUCUAACAGUGGUUCUGGGGCAUUGAAAGACUAUGGUUACCUGGAAACAUCUCCUAUUAUGGAAGAUUAUCGCAACAUUUGUGUCUUGGAUCAUUUUUUCUUGUUUCUCUGCCACAGAUCUAGCUGUAAGGUUUAAAGGUCCCGUUUAUCCUGAUCCCAUUUUUUAAACUUUAGUUGGUGUGUAAUGUUGCUGUUAGAGCAUAAAUAAUAUCUGUAAAAUUAUAAAGCUCAAAAUUCUAUACCAAGCGAUAUAUUUUCUUUAAUAGAAUUUCCCUUUCAAAGCCUAUAGCAAACGGCCAGUUUGGACUACAGCCCUCUACUUCUCGAUUGAAUGACAUCCAAAGAAGAGUUUUUUACUAACCUCUGCCCACUGGAAUAUGUCAGUCGCCAGCUAAACUCAAGUGGCUCUACUAAGCUGCUGUUGAAUCACAGCACACUAAACAAACUACAUAAUCAGAACUCGAUAGGUAUUUCUGAAGGAGGGACUUUAUAGAACAAGGAAGACAUCAGCUCGUUUUUAGUAAAGUAAAAACAGCGCUAGAGAGUAUGUGAAAAAUAUUGUCUUUUUUUACACACAAAACAUGAACACACGCUAUAUUGUACACCAUAAACACAAUCAUAGUUUGUGUUAAAUACUCUCAUUCUCACGGCACCCAUUCACUGCAGAGGAUCCCAUUGUAAGCAAUGUAAUGCUUAAUUUCUCCAAAUCUGUUCCAGUGAAAAAACAAACCAUCUAUAUCUUGGGUGAAAAAUUACUUUAAUCCCAAAAACAAACGUUUUUCAUUAAAAUGUUUUUACUUUGCUUUAUUGUUACAAUUUGUACAGUAGAUAGAAAAUAUACAUUGGAACAAAUGUAUAUACAGUGGUGUGAAAAGGUGUUAGCCCCCAUCCAGAUUUCCCAUGUUAUUAUUGCAUAUUUGUCACACUUUAAUGUUUCAGAUCAUCAAACAAAUUCAAAUAUUAGUCAAAAAAUAAAACCCAAGUGAACACAACAUGCAUUUUUUAAAUGAAGGUUUUUAUUAUUAAGGGAAAAAAUCAAAACUACAUGGCCCUGUGUAAAAAAGUGUGUUAGUACCCACUGGCUUUUAAUGUAAAUAUGUUUGGUUCUAAAAAUGUACAUAUAUAUUUUUUCAUACUUGAGACAAUAUACAUUGAAGUUCAUUUAUAAAUAAAACUAUAUUUUGAACAAUGA